UACGUAGGGUGCAAGCGUUGUCCGGAAUUAUUGGGCGUAAAGAGCUCGUAGGCGGUUAGUCGCGUCUGCUGUGAAAACCCGGAGCUCAACUCCGGGCCUGCAGUCGAUACGGGCGGACUUGAGUGUUGCAGGGGAGACUGGAAUUCCUGGUGUAGCGGUGAAAUGCGCAGAUAUCAGGAGGAACACCGGUGGCGAAGGCGGGUCUCUGGGCAACUACUGACGCUGAGGAGCGAAAGCGUGGGGAGCGAACAGG
rnacentral:rRNA from 1 species